rnacentral:rRNA from 1 species
CGUAGGGCGCAAGCGUUAUCCGGAAUUAUUGGGCGUAAAGAGCUCGUAGGCGGUUUGUCGCGUCUGCUGUGAAAGACCGGGGCUCAACUCCGGUUCUGCAGUGGGUACGGGCAGACUAGAGUGAUGUAGGGGAGACUGGAAUUCCUGGUGUAGCGGUGAAAUGCGCAGAUAUCAGGAGGAACACCGAUGGCGAAGGCAGGUCUCUGGGCAUUAACUGACGCUGAGGAGCGAAAGCAUGGGGAGCGAACAGGAUUAGAUACCCUGGUAGUCCAUGCCGUAAACGUUGGGCACUAGGUGUGGGGAGCAUUCCACGUUUUCCGCGCCGUAGCUAACGCAUUAAGUGCCCCGCCUGGGGAGUACGGCCGCAAGGCUA